GGGCCCCUAGCUCAGUGGUGGAACAUCUGCUUCGCAUGCAAAAGGUCCUAGGUUCAGUUCCUGGCAUCUCCA